GAGGAAAUUGCAACUUUUGGCCCAAAGGUUUGAAUAAUUAAAUUCAAACCUAUAGUUUUUUUUAAUAUAAUUUUGGGACUCACAAUCCCAUUUUUAUAUUAUUUUUCUCUCUUCCUCUCACGUUGCUCGGCGUUUUCUCGCAAGGGGGGAUUAUUUUCUUUUUCUUCAGAUUAUAUUGACAAAGAUAGUGGUGAAAAAGGAGUUGUGAAGGGGAACUUGUUAUUCAAGACACAAGGAGCGAAUCCGGCCGAGAAAGCACCAGAGGUGUAAUUAUGGUGUAUGAGACACCAUCUUUUACGUUGCCUCUUAUUUUGGAUUAUACAAUGUAUCUUGUGCCAACUUAGGACAUA